GAUUAAUUAAAAAUAAAUUAAUUAAUAAAAAAAAAAGAAGGUACAUACUGAAUCAGGCUUGUUAAUGUUCAUCCACUCUGCAUUUCCUUUAUUCUUGGACACACAUUUUUAGGUCUAUGGAAUCAGGAUUCAGUGUACAAUUGGUGAGCAAGAACCUAAUUACAUUGCUGGUGUGGGUUACCAUACCUUUCAGUGUCUUGGGCUCGAGGAACGUGGUCUAGGUGUGCCCACAUUCCCACCUUCUGCUUUCAAGUUUGAAUCAGCUGGGCCUGCCUUCCUCCUCCUGUACUGGGAGCACCUCCCAGGCAGGGAGGGCUUCUGGUCUGUGUCCUUCCUGCACCCAGCAUGGGGCCGGGUAAGCCUCAAAUGUCCCCUGGGCCAAAUUCCCGGAGGGCCUUGCCCUCCUAGCAGGGCCAGGAAAAAAGCCCCAGGCACUUGAUUCCCUCUGGUACAUUGAAGCAUGCUCUCUGGCUGUCCCAGGCCCACACAGGCCAGGACUCCAGCAUCCCUGCUGUGAUGGGAGCCUUGGGCAGAUCUAUCCCUUCUCUGAGCUGUCAUGUUGGGGGAGGCACUCAAGUUUGCAGAAUUGGCUCUGACACCCCAAGAGGUUCUGCCAGGGGCUUCCUGAGGUUCAAGCCAGGUGGACUGCCCGCUGGGCUUGGAGGAAAGGGUUUCUUCCUGCAUGAAAUGGCAGGAAGCUGGGUACCUUCUCGAUAGGCCCCCAAGGAAGAAGGGGCUCCGUGAUCUGUUUACCACUCCCCGUCUGCUCCUCCCCAUGCUCCUGCUCUGUUGUCAGCAGAACCCCACCCUUGAGGACAGACAGACACCAUGGUCCCUCACCUCCGUAUUAGGAUAGUAACCAUCACCUCCACCCCUAAAAGAAAUUAAAGUCAGCCUAGAGUCUGUAAGGCAGGCUCUGUCUGCAUUAUCAGAUGACAAUGACAAAGCUGUCUCCUUGUUUUUUACCCAAGAUUGAACAAAAGACCUCCCAUUCUGGGAAAUAAUUUAUUCUACGACAUUGAGCGCAAACUGUAUGUGAACACUGUGUCAAGUGCUGGGACUUGCUUUGAGUCCUGAGUUCUGGGUGUGGCCGAAGUGAACUACUUCCUGAUCUGGGCCUCAGUUUUCCCAUCUGUGAUAUAGGAUAGCAUUCGUUCUGGUCACUUUUCAGAGUGUUUAUGGGAUUUGAGGCAUGGAGGAGAUAAUAAGUCACAUGACAGUGUGUUCUGAAUAGUGUAACAUAGAGUCCAGAAAUAAGAGCCUGGUAUUAUUCUUUAAAUUCCUUCCACCUGAGACCUAGCUUGUGUGCAGUAGGUGCUCAGUAAUUAUUAGUGGAAGGGGAUGGGGAGGGUGUAGUCAGGGUUUCCUAACCUUUCUGGGCACUGACUCUCCUGAGAAUCAGAUGAAAACAAGGGGUCUCUCCAUGGGAAAAUGUAUAUGUGGGAGCACAUACAGUUUUGCUCAUGAUUUCAGAAGUUUCAAGGAUCCCUGAGGCUCCAGACCCUAGCCGUAGGGCUCUUGUUCAGAUAGUCUUAGAGCUUGGUGGCUAUUUAUCCUGGUUGGGAUCUGUCCUUGCAGACUGCCCACAAGUGGGAUGCGGGUGGGCUAUCUGGAAGGGAGCUGUGCAUUGAUCCUGGCUCUCCCUAACCAUGCCAGAGACACUCUUCCUUAGCCCUUUGAGUGCGGUUAUUCCGGACCUGGCCCACGAGAGCCCAUGGCUAUCCCCAGGACAUCAUGCUUUCCUUUCUGUAGUUUGGUGGACAGAUGUGAGGGCUAGUCCUGAAGCUACGUGGAGGGAGUAGGUGAUUCUUGCUCCACGCCCAGAGGCUGCCUUGAGCCCACCAGAGCCUGCCAGACCCAGGGAAGCCCCCAGAGUAUACUGGUAUGGUAAAAUCUUCUGAGAGAGGUAUCUAAAAUUCCUUUUGAACCUCCUCUUUUCUUUUUAGGGCCCAAGUUCAAAGUCUGAGGUGGAGGGGGCCCGGUUGUGGGGCUGCAAGCAGGGGACAGGGGCACAGGGAAAACCCAGUUCCCAGGCUAACUCUACACCUCACCCCUGGCUGAGCCUUGGGGUUUAGACCCUGACUCUUUACCUGGGGUCACGAAACAUCUUUCUCCAGCCCCCCACCAGUCCUCCAGGAGUUGGCAGGGGGCAGGUAAAGGUAAGACAGCGUCCUGAGGUACUGACCUCUCUCCCAAUCCCUGCAACACACACACACACACACACACACACAGACCUGGUUUAUUAUUACUAGAUUUAUUUCCAGUCAGGCUGACCUCGUAGGGAAAUGAGUGGUGCCACCACACACCCCCUGUCCUGCUGGAGAACCUGAGGUGCCAGAGUCCAGCAGCCUGAGGGUCGGCUUCCUUUUCACAGAUUAAUGCCAGGGGGUCAGAUAGUUGACACGACUGUGGAGAGAAAUAGGGUUGAGGCAGGGGCUUCCAGGGUGUCCUGGGGAAAAUCAAGCUGUCCUUCUGUAGGCCUGCCCCCCAAACCCAACUUCCUGUCCUCAAAGCUCUGAAAACACAGCUUCCAUCCUAUCUCUCUAUGGCUCAAGAGCCUUCAGUGGCUCCCUAUUUCCUUUCAAUUAUAUAUUUUCAGAGACUCUGCUUGACUUUCAAUCACCCCCUUCCAGUUUGCCUCAUCUUUGUUUCUCAUUGAUCCCCAGUCCUGCCGUGCUUUACUCAUUUUUCAAACAUUUAGUGCACUUACCCUGGCAGGCAUUAUAUAAUAGUAUAUAAUAGUAAAAAUAUCAGAAAGCGUUCCCCUGUGUGUGGACAGGGUGGGUGAGAGAAGGCAAACUUUCCAUCAGUAAUUAUAACGCAAUAGUCUAUGUGCUAUCAGAUAGGGAUGCAUCUGUGGUGACCAACCCGAGGGGGUUUGAGCUGGAGGGGAGAGGCUUCAAGGGAGCCUCAGGGAAGACCAAGGAGGAUAGGACAUCUAGGCUGGGCUUUCAAGAGUGAGGAGGAAUUUUCCAGGCAGAGAAGGAAGGAUCACCUAGGCCCUGAAACAGCACCAGCAAAAGUGUGGCGUGCUUGGUUGUGCUGGUGCUUUGGGGGACACCCAGGAGUGUGGUACUGCUGCGGUGGAGGAAAGGGGGCCUGGUAGUUGGGAGAGGGCUGAAAGAUGAAGAUGCUUGAAUACCUUACACCUUCCUGCUGGAAACAGGAGCCUCAGCCCUUCCCACCUCUCCGGAUCCUGGAAGGCACACUCUUGGUUCUUUCCAUCAGCCCUUGCUCUCCUCCCUGGUAAGCCCCCCUCCUUUUGGCCUAGUCUGAGCCAAAUCGGGUGGGACAUGCACUCUGCUCCCCCCAUCUCCCAGUAGGCUGUGCUUUCUCCUGGCGCGGAUCUCUCCGGAGGGAAGCAAAUCGGCCCCGAUAUCACCCGGAGGGUACCAAAACCUUGGCUCGAGGCGGGGUGGAGAGGGGUCUGAGAGUCGCCUGAGCCCAGAGGCGGCCAGGACACAGCCCCAUGGAGGAGUGGCCGGUUGUGGAGCGGGAGGGGGUCAUUCGCCUACCUGUAGAUUGAGCCGAAGUGUCGGAAGGCGUUCCUGCCAAAAAGGGAGGAGGAAGGUGAGCCCGAGGUGGGGAAGGGUGACCCUCUCGGGGAACCUCACUCCCAUCUCGGGAGGCGCUAUCCCACCAGAAGGAUUACAUUCCACCCUGGUUCCACCUAAUGCCUUCACUCCGAAAGGUGGGGUUGCCAGGGACUGGAGGACAGGAUGCUCCGUUUGAUUAAACAUCUGUUCAGUUUGGAACUGCAAUUUCCUUGUGGUGUAUUGGAACCCAGCAGUUUUCCCGGGUCUCACACUUUCAAGAGUCACUAAAGGUGCUCGGAGGAAAGCGGCCAAGACCCCAUCCUCCCUCCUCCAGGGCAGCUUGAACUCGCCGGGGGAAGACACGAAGCGGGACCAGUCCUCAAUGGCGCGUGUGAAGCAGGGCCAGUCGACCCGGUUGAUGCCCGGCACGAUGGGUACCAGCUUUCCCUCGCGGCACCUGUUGCGGAGUCUCUGGCCCGUCGCCGUGACGUCCUGCCAGGGUGAUAUGAGGUGCAAUUUCCCUGAAGAGUUCCUAGAAAUCAAGACAAGAAGAAUGAGCCAGCCGUAUGCAUAGGUAAUUCACACAC